ACACAGAAGGAGAUGUCUGGGUGAUGGCAUGUUUGCAGAGAAAAGUUCGGUUGGAAAGCAGAGUCCUUUUCACUCUCUGCUUUCCUUUAGAAUGUUCAGUUCUUUUUUUCCUCCAAGGCUGCUGUUCAGCUUCUUUUAUUUCUGCCUUAGUGUUGUCAGUUCGUCUCUCCCUCUUAUCUCCUCUAACUUUUGUUGCUGUUUUCUUGUUGCGGGUUCAUUUCGCCCCUGUCCGUGUUAGGCUGUGUGUUUUUUUUUUUGUAAUUCCCCCGUUUGAUUUUGUCCCAAAGAGUUUAAGACAAAAGGAAAUGUCUUUAUUUUGGUUCGCUAAGGAGAAUCAGACCUGCAGCCAAGGACCCUGCUGGGAUGUAAAAAAAAAAAAAAAAAAAACGUAGCAGAACGAAGCGACACAGAAAAAAAAAAAAAAAACGCUGCACACUGAGUCCCCCGCCACAUUAUUUUGCCGUCUCUCUCUCUCCGUACAUCUCAAACCCAUCUCCAGGGUUUGUACCCCGUAAAUGAGGACGGACCACUGGGCGGGACAGCGAAAAGAGGGAGGAAGGAAAGAGGAGACAGUACCUUUUCGUAAUUUCCCCGGUCUCUUCAUUUUGGCUGGAGGGUCGGCCUACUCUGCACCCUAAGCCUGACUCCAUUUUAAUGCCAGGCGCUGACUGAUCUGUCCGACCACCCCCACGUCUCCUCUGGACUCUGAUAUGUGGCUUUCUGGCAUCUUUUUAUCUUUAUUCGUCGCUGGAAAUGUAGAAAAGCUGGAGGAAGAGGAAUGUUGUUGUGGGAAUGACCUGGAACCCUAAGGAAGGAAGGAUGAUUCAGGUGAAGUCACUGAAUACUCUGUGAUACAGUAUCAGCUAAAUGUGUGGCAAGUAGUGUCUGCCUGUGGUUGUUUAUCUGAUUGUAGAUACGUUUAUCUCUGCCUUCCUGGUAGCAGUAUUUCAGUGCCGGUACACAAAAGAACAAAGUCAAGUUAAAUCUGGAUUAUGGAUAUUUUUUAUGUAACGUGAACCUUCGUCAGAAUUCAGAAGUUGAUUCGGUCUUAAAAUAAUUGUUUGCGAUUUCCAAUAAAGUCAAAUAUAUAUUUAUUUAGCAGGGAGUUUACAUUGUUUAUACUUUUUCACUGCAAUUUUAAUAGCGAUCACACUAAAUAAAAUUCUAAAUAUAAUAAUAUUUACUGAUCUUUCUCCCCUUUGAAAGUUCGAUAUAAGCAAUACUAUAAGACAGAAAUUACAGAUAAUUCCUGGCACAUCUGACAGUUGUGUCUAAUUCAUUGUGCCGUGCUCAACAAAAUGUUUUCUCUCUCCCGAAGAUGAUAGUUUGACCUGUGAGUUGUAAAGACUUUUCAAUAAUAUUUUUCAAGGUGUUAAAAUCAUUUGAAGAGGUGCAUCGCGUUUCAUUUUUAAUCCCAGAGACAGACCAUUCAGUCGACUGUUCAGAACAAAAAUGUGGUACUUCAAUCCUGAUUCAGUAAUGGUAAAUUGUCUGUGGGUGGUUGAGUUUGUCACAGCGAUUUUAACAUUGUCUUGAAAGCUCUAAACGUGAGUGCA